rnacentral:rRNA from 1 species
CAGAUCCUAUUAGCGGCGGACUGGUGAGUAACGCGUGGGUGAUCUACCUUAAGGGUCUGGAUAGCCGGUAGAAAUAUCGGGUAAUACAGGAUACGUUAGUUCUGCUGUGGCGGAGCUAAGAAAGGUGCUACGGCAUCGCCUUGAGAUGAGCCCGCGUCCCAUUAGCUAGUUGGAGGGGUAAGAGCCCACCAAGGCGAAGAUGGGUAGCCGGCCUGAGAGGGUGAACGGCCACACUGGGACUGAGAUACGGCCCAGACUCCUACGGGAGGCAGCAGCUAAGAAUAUUCCGCAAUGGACGAAAGUCUGACGGAGCGACGCCGCGUGUAUGAGGAAGGCCGAAAGGUUGUAAAGUACUUUUGCGGAUGAAGAAUAAGCGGUGGAGGGAAUGCCAUCGUGAUGACGCAAGUCCGUGAAUAAGCCCCGGCUAAUUAC